rnacentral:rRNA from 1 species
GAUGAACGCUGGCGGCGUGCCUAAUACAUGCAAGUCGAGCGAACAGACGAGGAGCUUGCUCCUCUGACGUUAGCGGCGGACGGGUGAGUAACACGUGGAUAACCUACCUAUAAGACUGGGAUAACUUAGGGAAACCGGAGCUAAUACGGGAUAAUAUAUUGAACCGCAUGGUUCAAUAGUGAAAGACGGUUUUGCUGUCACUUAUAGAUGGAUCCGCGCCGCAUUAGCUAGUUGGUAAGGUAACGGCUUACCAAGGCAACGAUGCGUAGCCGACCUGAGAGGGUGAUCGGCCACACUGGAACUGAGACACGGUCCAGACUCCUACGGGAGGCAGCAGUAGGGAAUCUUCCGCAAUGGGCGAAAGCCUGACGGAGCAACGCCGCGUGAGUAAUGAAGGUCUUCGGAUCAUAAAACUCUGUUAUUAGAGAAGAACAAAUGUGUAAGUAACUAUGCACGUCUUGACGGUACCUAAUCAGAAAGCCACAGCUAACUACGUG